UGCAUCGUCUCCACAGGAACCCGACCCGGGUGGCGGAAGAGGGGCGGCCAACGGCCAGUGCGCCGCGUCCGCUGGAGCGCAGCCCUGACUUCCACAGGCACGGAUUCCUCAGGUGUAAGACACCACGUCAGAAGAGGGCAGGAUGAGGAUCUGUGGACAAGGCUUUAGGGAGAGGAUCUGGAUUAGCGCCUACUUCAAACCAACCUCUUUUGCCCCCAAACAAGCGAGUUUUCCUUUCAGUCCCAGGAAUCCAAAGGUCGGGGGAAAGCGUCUGGAGUCCAUUGGUUUUUCAGGUUCUGGUGAAGGACGCUGGUCCAGUAUGCAAGCAGGCCCCUGUGCCACCCCCAGCCAAGGGGACUGAGAGACUCCUGCUUAAGGACUGAGGAGCAGACAUCUGGGCAGAAAAAGGCUGAGUUGAGAAGAAUCACCCAGCAGGAGACACCUGGAGGAGCCCUCCCUCCUCGUCCCCCCGGGAAGCCCCCUGGAAAUCUCAGA